UACGUAGGGUGCGAGCGUUAAUCGGAAUUACUGGGCGUAAAGCGUGCGCAGGCGGUUCGUUGUGUCGGUGGUGAAAUCCCCGGGCUUAACCUGGGAAUGGCCAUGGAAACUGGCGAACUGGAGUGUGGCAGAGGGGGGUGGAAUUCCGCGUGUAGCAGUGAAAUGCGUAGAGAUGCGGAGGAACACCGAUGGCGAAGGCAGCCCCCUGGGCUAGCACUGACGCUCAGGCACGAAAGCGUGGGGAGCGAACAGG
rnacentral:rRNA from 1 species